rnacentral:lncRNA from 13 species
CUCAAAAGAGUUUUGGAUUUUGGACAACACAGGAUUUCAAAUUUGGGGGUUAGGGUGGCUCAACCUUUACUUCAAGAUCACUUAGAAGAAGAAACACUUGAAAAUUGAGAACAAUUAUUUAAGCCCCCACAUUGAUGUCACAACUACUGGAAACUAUUCAUAAAAUUGAUGAAAAGGAAUUUUUCAUAUUACAAAUAAACAAACAGUUCAUUGGAGACAAGAUGGAAAUUUCCCCAAUCUAAAGAAGCACCAAGAAAAAUUCAACUAAAACAAUAUACAGACACAAAUGAAGACUAUGCACUCUGUGCAAGUAUGCUGGAGUCAUGUGAGUGAGUUCUGGACAACACAGAGUGGUAAAAGUGAAACAGAAUACUUUUGGACCUGAUGAGUACAUAUUAUGUGUGAUCACCCUGUCAUUGCUUACUUCUUUUCUUGUGAAUUCAGCUGCAUCACAAGAUGAAAAGAUCCUGGAUACCCGAGUCAUCAGUCAGAGAAAAGUUACCAAGUAGAGCCUACGUGGCUUACAGUGGUUUUUCAAGAUAAAAUUUCCUUUUAUUCAAUAAAAAAUAAGAUUCAGUAUAAAGGAAAAGUGUUGAGAACUCAAAAGCAACCGCAAGUCCCGGGACUAAGAAUUAUAUCCUGUGCUUCUCUCUGCCAGCAGGACACAUUUCUGGAGAUAAAGAUCACUUACAAAUAUUCAGAGUUUGCCUGCAUUUUAUUUUUGAAAACUGAAAAAUGGGAAAAAUCUUUAGAUUCAUAAAAAUGCACAUUUGUCACAACAUACCAUUAUUUUCUUUUUUUG